CUUCUUUUCCCUUUUGAAAUGCUAUAUUAGUUUCUGUUUUGUGUGCAGGUAUGGAAGUACGAAUGCAAGUCACCUACCUAGGUGCCUAUGAACCCCCUCCAAGAUGGUAUACCAGCAGCCAGAAUGUACGGCUCAAGCGACAUGGCUCCGAGAAAAGCUGCGAUCCUGACAUCAAGCCAUCUCGCUGCGCGCCAGGGACAGAACGUUUGAAGGAGUAGUGAGCAUUGAGUGGAUUUCAGUAAGCAUCAUGUAAGCCCCCACAGUGAGACCAAGACCAGGUAAGAUUGAACACGAACUACCUCUUCGGGUCUCGACAGAUCCUGAAGGAUCCAAGAGAGCCAAGCCGAGGAGGGUUCUCAGCUGGUAAAAAAGGUUUCCGCUAGCGACCCAAAAAAAGACAAGCUCCAGGAUAAGGUGAGCUAAAUACAAAAAGUUCGGGGAGGAGAAAUGACCCUUGUCAGAGAUGUCUGCAUGGGUUUUUUGGUUUGGUGAAGCUCACUUGUUUACCCCUGUCUGCAAUGAAGAUUCCACGAACGAACUCCACGAAACGACGGGGCCGGAACGAUAAUGGGAACUUUCCUGGAACGUCUUUCAAAUACAGGGAGUAAAUGAAUUCGUUGAUAGCCACGAAUCAGCAGUCAAAAUCAAUUCUUUCCCCCGAGAGGAAUGGAUAAAACGAAUAAGGUUUGAUUUUAUUACAUGAUAGCAUAGCAAAAUUAUUCUAACUCGAGCUGUGAUUGUUACCUGAUUUAGUUACCAGUAAUUUAUAUAGAUAUCUAACUUCUCACUGAAACUUGCUUGUCAAAUAAGGUGCUGAACUUGGUGGUGGAUUUAGUGGACCUACCCAACCUGGACAUUCCAGAAAUGAACAGACCUUAUCCAUAGUUACUCCAGGACCUUCUGUGGUUCUUCUCAUAUUCACCCAACGACGAAAGAAAAAGAAAAUUAGAAGAUUGAUUGGGGAAAAAGCUACAAAUAAGAAACAGUAAGAAGC
rnacentral:sRNA from 2 species